UAAUUAUAUUAUGUGUCGACAUUCAGUUCUUUGGCGAUCUGAAUCACGUGAUUGUAAGCAGACAAAGGCCCGAAUCAGACCGCUUUGUUAUUUUAGCCGCUCAUGUGAUCAGCACUCAACUCCAAAGGGCCGCUCUCAGCCCUCCAAUCCUCUGCAGCCCGACACAGAGAGAGUCUGUUACCGGAGGAACAAAGGUCAGUGUAACUGUGUCGCCACAUUUUCAACUCACAGGAUCUUGAAAGAGACAAAGGGGGCUGUGAACAAACACGCUUUGUUUUCACUAAAAACAAGACAGCGUUUGUUGUUACGCUCUGGGCUGUGAUGUCAUCGUCAUGGUUCAUCCUCUCCGUGACCUCUGGGGCCGGUGACUCUCAAAUAGCUUCAUCAGGAGAGGGAGGAAUGCAGCUGUGAGUCAGCACAGAGGAACGGCAGUGAAAGUCAGCAUGAGGCCAUGGUCGGAUUAUACAAGGCUGAGGUAGCCUGGAGUCUGCAGCCACUCUCAUGAGUCUGAGCUACACAGAGCCACAGCUCCCCCUACUGGUCACACUACAAAACACAACAACAAUCAGGUCAGUGUGCUGUUGUUUUACAUCAUCCCAAACUGAGCCAUCAUACACAUUAGUUUUGGAUCGUAAUUUCUUUAAGAUAUUUAACCAUUUGUUUGGCCAAUGGUAAUUGAAUUGUUGUUUCACUUGUACCGAAACACAUUUAAGUUUUGUCCUAGUUAUUCUAUUGAAGUUGCCUCUAUUUCUCUUGUUUCUCUCAUAAUGUGACAUUCAUCACAAAAGUCAAACCUUGAGAAAUUGAGAAUUGUGUGAUAUAAAUGAUGAGAAAAAUAAGAAGGCAAGACUUCCCUCAUGUGGUGUAUUCAACUGUAAAUGGACAUCUUGGAAAGAUCUAGGAAAUGGCAGUAAUGUCAAAAUUUGUCAUUGGCUUAAAAUUGCACUGAUAUUGUUUUUUAUGUAUUGCUUCAGUCUACUUACUGUACU